AUUGAACGCUGGCGGCAGGCCUAACACAUGCAAGUCGAACGAGUGGCGGACGGGUGAGUAAUGUCUGGGAAACUGCCUGAUGGAGGGCGUUCACUACUGGGAACGGUAGCUAAUACCGCCUUCCAUCAGAUGUGCCCAGAUGGGAUUAGCUUGUUGGUGGGGUAACGGCUCACCAAGGCGACGAUCCCUAGCUGGUCUGAGAGGAUGACCAGCCACACUGGAACUGAGACACGGUCCAGACUCCUACGGGAGGAAGCAGUGGGGAAUAUUGCACAAUGGGCGCAAGCCUGAUGCAGCCAUGCCGCGUGUGUGAAGAAGGCCUUCGGGUUGUAAAGUACUUUCAGCGGGGAGGCGUUACCCGCAGAAGAAGCACCGGCUAACUCCGUGCCAGCAGCCGCGGUAAUAC
rnacentral:rRNA from 1 species